rnacentral:tRNA from 1 species
UGGAUAUUAGUUAUAAAUAAAAUAACAUUUAAAUUGCAUUUAAAAAUUAAUAUUUUAUAUAUUAUAUCUAA